AACGAACGCUGGCGGCAUGCCUAACACAUGCAAGUCGAACGAGACCUUCGGGUCUAGUGGCGCACGGGUGCGUAACGCGUGGGAACCUGCCCUUAGGUUCGGAAUAACUCCCCGAAAGGGGUGCUAAUACCGGCUAAUUUCUUCGGACCAAAGAUUUAUCGCCUUUGGAUGGGCCCGCGUUGUAUUAGCUAGUUGGUAGGGUAAAAGCCUACCACGGGGACGUUCCAUAGCUGGUCUGAGAGGAUGCUCAGCCACACUGGGACUGAGACACGGCCCAGAAUCCUACGGGAGGCAGCAGUGGGGAAUAUUGGAAUAUGGGCGAAAGCCUGAUCCAGCAAUGCCGCGUGAGUGAUGAAGGCCUUAGGGUUGUAAAGCUCUUUUACCCGGGAUGAUAAUGACAGUACCGGGAGAAUAAGCUCCGGCUAACUCCGUG
rnacentral:rRNA from 1 species